GCCUGUCCUUCUAAGAGUCACCGCAGACCAACAGUGCCAUCUAGUGGACGGUAACCCUCCUUCCACCACUUCACAAUAUCUCAGUCACAAGCUGCAACCCUUCGGACGCCCACUUCCAAAGCAAACCUCCAGUCUUCUUCAAGGUUGUUGAUUCCUGUGGAGGAUGAACAUAGUGGAUGCCUCACAUUUUCAGCACUGCUGUACAGUCUCAUUGGAUCUUCAUUAUGUGUCUGUAGAACAGAUGCUCUAUUUCACAGAGCAGGAAACUAUGGAUAAGCAGUUCAGUGCCUCUUCCAAGAUAAAUCAGCCAAUAAAUGGC